rnacentral:lncRNA from 1 species
CCUUAGUGUGUCUGUUGGAAGGAAUGUAGGAAUUCAGGUUCUGUAAAAGCACUCUCCUCUCAUAAUUGCUACUUGGAGGUUUUUUUAUGUGUGCUUGGUUGUUGUUUUUUUAUCAUUCCUAAUGCUGUGGAAGGAUCUGGCACAUCCAAAGGAACUCAGAUAGGA